rnacentral:rRNA from 1 species
AUUGAACGCUGGCGGCAUGCUUUACACAUGCAAGUCGAACGGCAGCGCGGGCUUCGGCCUGGCGGCGAGUGGCGAACGGGUGAGUAUGCAUCGGAACGUGCCCAGUAGUGGGGGGUAGCCCGGCGAAAGCCGGAUUAAUACCGCAUACGACCUGAGGGUGGAAGCGGGGGACCGAAAGGCCUCGCGCCAUUGGAGCGGCCGAUGUCGGAUUAGCUAGUUGGUGGGGUAAAGGCUUACCAAGGCGACGAUCCGUAGCUGGGCUGAGAGGACGACCAGCCACACUGGGACUGAGACACGGCCCAGACUCCUACGGGAGGCAGCAGUGGGGAAUUUUGGACAAUGGGGGCAACCCUGAUCCAGCCAUGCCGCGUGCGGGAAGAAGGCCUUCGGGUUGUAAACCGCUUUUGUUCGGGAAGAAAUCCUCUGGGCUAAUACCCCGGGGGGAUGACGGUACCGGAAGAAUAAGCACCGGCCAACUACGUG